rnacentral:rRNA from 1 species
UGGGGAAUUUUGGACAAUGGGCGCAAGCCUGAUCCAGCAAUGCCGCGUGAGUGAAGAAGGCCUUCGGGUUGUAAAGCUCUUUUGUCAGGGAAGAAACGGUUGGGGCUAAUAUCCCCGGCUAAUGACGGUACCUGAAGAAUAAGCACCGGCUAACUACGUGCCAGCAGCCGCGGUAAUACGUAGGGUGCAAGCGUUAAUCGGAAUUACUGGGCGUAAAGCGUGCGCAGGCGGUUUUGUAAGUCUGUCGUGAAAGCCCCGGGCUUAACCUGGGAAUUGCGAUGGAGACUGCAAGGCUUGAAUCUGGCAGAGGGGGGUAGAAUUCCACGUGUAGCAGUGAAAUGCGUAGAGAUGUGGAGGAACACCGAUGGCGAAGGCAGCCCCCUGGGUCAAGAUUGACGCUCAUGCACGAAAGCGUGGGGAGCAAACA